AAAACUCUAGUUGCCAACGACGACAACUACGCACUGGCCGCUUAAGGCCUAAGCCCCGAAAUCGCUUGUGUCCGUGCUCGCGACGUAGGGUCAUUAUCACGGAAUCGCCGGGAGUGGCUGCCUGCCAGCACCCGGUUAACCUAAAGCAGGCUGGUCCCCGGAUGCGCUUUGCGCGCCGUGCUGUUCGGGGACGAGAUCCAACGGAGCGCUAAGCAUGUAGUGCCGGGGAUGGAGUGCCUUCGGACGGGGGUUCAAUUCCCCCCACCUCCACCA
rnacentral:tmRNA from 1 species